rnacentral:rRNA from 1 species
UACGUAGGGUGCAAGCGUUGUCCGGAAUUAUUGGGCGUAAAGAGCUCGUAGGCGGUUUGUCACGUCGGCCGUGAAAUCCCGAGGCUCAACCUCGGGUCUGCAGUCGAUACGAGCAAACUAGAGUGUUGCAGGGGAGACUGGAAUUCCUGGUGUAGCGGUGAAAUGCGCAGAUAUCAGGAGGAACACCGGUGGCGAAGGCGGGUCUCUGGGCAACAACUGACGCUGGAGGAGCGAAAGCGUGGGGAGCGAACAGG